rnacentral:tRNA from 1 species
ACAUACUAGCUCAUUGGUAGAGCACUUCCCUUUAAAGGAAUAGGUCGCGGGUUCAACUCCUGCGUAUGAACAA